rnacentral:rRNA from 1 species
UACGUAGGUGGCAAGCGUUGUCCGGAUUUAUUGGGUUUAAAGGGUGCGUAGGCGGUUCUUUAAGUCAGUGGUGAAAUACAGCCGCUUAACGGUUGAGGUGCCAUUGAUACUGAAGAACUUGAGUACAGACGAGGUAGGCGGAAUUGACGGUGUAGCGGUGAAAUGCUUAGAUAUCGUCAAGAACACCGAUAGCGAAGGCAGCUUACUAGACUGUAACUGACGCUGAGGCACGAAAGUGUGGGGAUCAAACAGG